AAAUACCACCUUGUAAAGAUAGAGAAAAUGGCUUGUGGAGCCCUAACAGUGCUUCUUGGCUCUUCAGCUUCAGUCAACAAACUGAUAGGUUCAUCACGAAAGCUCCUGUGGCCUGGAAGCUGUGCCAUGGACCCUCGUUUGCAUAACCCUUUUAAAUUAUUGUACUUACUGCAUGUUCCUAUUGUGCAGAAAAUACUACUGUUUCUAUUUUGCAUAAAAAGGUGCAGAAAAUGAACAGUUUAAGAAAGAAGACCCAAGUAAUAUCUGAACUUUAUAGAUACACUUUAUAUAUAAAGAAAAUGAAAUAAAUUUGUUAAAAUCGC
rnacentral:lncRNA from 1 species